UCCCCGCUGCCCUGUGUCACCCACCGUCUGGCCGUCCCCGAAUCCCACCGGGGUCUCUUGCUGAUCGCACGGCCUCUCCUUCCCAAACAUCCCCUCUGAGUCUCUUUGCCUCCUCUGGGUGCUGGUUUAACUGUCUCCACCUUGGGGGUUGACAGGGAGCGGGACAGGGACCCAGACAUCCCUUAGCAGAAACGCAUCUCCUGGGCUUUCUUCUGGCCAGAGGUCACCUUUUUUUUGUUGUUGUUUUUGUUGUUUUUUAAACUGUGGCUCCUUCCAGCCUAGGUAGGAGCUGCCCCGGGGGCUGCUUGUCUCUUCAGUACUUCCCUCCUCAGCCAGCCUCCAGGGCACUGUCAGAGAAGGAUCCUAGGAAGUGGGACCGGGAGCCAAACAGUGGUAGCAAAACCCCGAACCCGACAGGCGCAUCAGGAUCUUUGCCAACUUUGCAAGUUGUCAAGCAACUCGCACCCUGCUGGCUAUUUUAAGAUGCUGUGCAAUUUCUUUUUGGCUUCCCUCUUCUUUCUUCCAGAACACUUGUAAUAACAUCCCUGCUGCUCUAGGAAAAAAGACAAUACAAAUGAGCACUCUCUUUUGGCAAUAGUCACCACUCCCGCAGAACUGAAUGAAGGAGACCGGUGUCCCCAAAGCAGAGCGCUGAAGACCACCCAGAGGGCAGCCAUGUCUCUGAGGCCCCAGGCGGCUGCCACAAGAAGCCGGAGAGGCAGUCGGCCAUCACAUAUGACUACUCCGAGGAGGAGCUGAUGGCCAGCAUCGAGCGGGAGUACUGCUGCUGAGGCCGGUGCAGCAGCAGCCUCACCGUCACCCAGCAACCAACCAACGUGCCAUUCCUCCCAGACCCAGCCCCAGCUGACCGGAACUGGGCUGGGGGCGCACGUUCCAAGAUCUUUCACAACUGGCCUCUUCAAAUCCACAUUCAGACAGUUCUGAACAUGGCUGGCUGCUGGCCAUCGUGCUUGCUGGCAAGAGAUGAUCAGCCGUGCAGACCCAGGAAGAAGGAAGGUGCGAGUGCCGGGGAGAGCCAUAUACAAGGGUCUCUUGAAUCCUGAAACACUUUCCCUUUCUGAUGCCCACUCGUCACGUGCUCUGAAGGAGGCUCAUUAGCUGAGUGUGGCUCAGACCCGAGGCUACAGGGCCUCACACGCGUCCCAUAGCACCCCGGGGAGGUCUCCCACGGGAGGGCACAUCCAGGAGGUAUGCCUUGCCGAGCUGGAGGGAGUCACCCUUGGGUCUGCGAAUGAGUCUCAUGGAGAUGUUGCAGAUUCUGAUUCCAUGGGUCUGGGGCACGGCCUCUGAGUCUGCAGGUCUCACCAGUUCCCAGGUGAGACCCAGGCUGCUGGGUCCCAGCUGCGCCCAGAGUGGCAGGGACUGAGCCCAAGCCUUCUGCCUGGCUGGAUCUUCCUUCCCUGGUGCCGGAGGCUGCUCAGAGCCAUAGUCCACCCCCCUCCCCAGAGAGAGGCGUGUGCUCCUGCAGUGUGUGUGUGUUGUGGGGGGACCAGAGCCAGAGUCCCCAGUUCUGAUCCUUGCCCUCGAACUAACCUGCAGUCACUUCCCCACUCUGGGCCUUGGGGUCCCUCUCUAGAAAGUGAGUCCCAGAGGAGUGCCCCCCACCCCCCUGCUCUGACCAUCUGGGAUUACACAUCCCAGGUGUCCUUGGUCUCCUUGUUCCCCUGGGGGCACGGGACUGCCUCCCCUGCUGGGGGUGAGCCCCAGUCUCACCUGCUCAGGGCCACCUGCUCUUCCACCUGGUAGAAGGAAGAAAAAUCACAGCAGUGAGGCCAGAAGAGCCUUAGAACAUCCCCAGUGGACAAAUGAGGAAGCCAAUGCCUUGUGAACCAGGGGGCCCUGGGGGAAACCCGCAGCCUGACUGGAAGGGAGGCCCCUGCUGUGGGCCCAGCGUGGCUGCUGUCUGAAAGUUCAGGGUAGCAGGCGGUCAAGAGCCCAGGAGGCGGGAGACCUGGGAGGCAGGCCCUCCAGAGCAGCUGGCCAGGACAUGGGUAAAAAAAGAAGGGCACGUAGAGGGUACCUGUUCGCCUCCAGAAGCCAGAAUGGGUCUCAGCUUGUCCAGUGUUCCCCACCCACGUACAGGUGAUUCCUCCACAGCGUCACCUGCAAGAGCAUCUCAGGGCUCGAGGAACGGCCACCUGGCACCGUGCCCAGGUCACAGGCUUGCUGCCCAAAUGGGCAAACAGGCAUUUCCACAAACCUCGGUGACUUGGCAAAGGUGCCUUUGAUCAGGUGUUUCAUGGCAGGGAGAUUUUAAACUUCGAGGCUUUGAUGGAACCAUGGAUCCUUCCAGCAAAUGCCCCAGAGGGUUGGCUCAGAACCUCCCCCAAACCAGAGCUAUUUCUCAUCCAAGCCCAAACCAUUUGUUUUAAUAUGAAGAUUAAACCUGUUAUUAUCAUAAUAAUACAGAUACUUCUUUUUGAAGUUAAAAUUUCAUUUCUCCCUACUAGACAGAUAAGGCCUUGACUUUAACGAUGUAAAUGUUUAGUUUUACAUCAUUCAUUUGGUGAAUUAAUUCAGCCAGAAAGUUGACACCCUGUACUUUCCCGUGGAAACCUCAUAAAACCCUUUACGAAACAAAAGCAUUAAGGAAAAGAAUUCCUCAUGACAUUUGAUGUCACCGAUGGGGUGAAUGCACUUCAUCAAAGCUGAGAAGUCAUAGCGGUCAUUCUCAGGUCUUCAUAUUUUUUUUAUUCCCCCAAUUCAGGAAAAAAAUGUGUCUUCUGGAUGGUGUUUGACAAUAAAGCGGCGUGUCCCAGCUUU